rnacentral:rRNA from 1 species
UACGAAGGGGGCUAGCGUUGCUCGGAAUCACUGGGCGUAAAGCGCACGUAGGCGGAUCUUUAAGUCAGGGGUGAAAUCCCAAGGCUCAACCUUGGAACUGCCUUUGAUACUGGGGAUCUCGAGUCCGGAAGAGGUGAGUGGAACUGCGAGUGUAGAGGUGAAAUUCGUAGAUAUUCGGAAGAACACCAGUGGCGAAGGCGACUCACUGGCCCGUUACUGACGCUGAUGCGCGAAAGCGUGGGGAGCAAACAGG